rnacentral:lncRNA from 1 species
GCGGGCCAGCGCCGCCGGACGGCGCGGGCGGUGCCGCGGUCCCCGUCGCGGUGCUGUGUCCGUGGCCAUUCCCCGCCGCUGCCCCUCCGAGGUGCGCGGAGCUGCCCCGCCCCGCCCCGUCCCGUCCCGUCCCACGGCGGGGGCGAUGCUCCCCCCGCUGCGCUGCCCGCGGAUCCCUCCCUGCUGAUGCGCUUUAGACGGUUUGCCUGGUGCAAGAUCAUCCCCCGGACAGCCCCGCAUCCCGGCGGCAGCACCGAGCCUCGGCGAUGCGCUGAUGGCAUCGAGCAUGGAUGGAUGGAUGGAGAGCAUGGAAAGACCACAGGGAGCUUUCAACUUUCAACCCAUGUGGGUUUUUUUGGGGUGCUGCCUGGACCCUGUGCAUGCAUCCCAAGCCUGAAGGAUCUGGCUGGUGCUUUCCAGGCACCAUCCAGCAGCCCUGGCUGUGCAGCCCCACUGUCUCCUUCCUGCACGGAAAUGCCGGCUAUUUCAUUCCUGGAAAGCUCCAGCUCCAGAGAUAAAAUCUAAGUGGAUUCAGAGAACCUGAAAGGAUCGCAUGCUUCAUGGCUUUCCCUUCAGUAAUGUGGGAGAUAAACAGGAUGUAAUAAAGGAUCCGUCCUUCCUUGGAAAAGGGCCA